GACGCAGCAGAGAUCUGAAGGACAAGGAGGCAUCACUGGGUCUGCCUGCCUGCCUGACCACAGCUGGUAACUGCAUGGCACAGAUACUUGCUGUUGGGUCACAGAUGUCUAUUUUGGAUGGGCCUUAUGAAAGAGAAUCAGAAAAGAUUCCAUCAGAGAAUGAACCAGCAAUCAAGUAAAAGGAGGUUUCGUUUCCUGAAUCGUCUCUAGCGCGUGAGGUUGUGCCCUCAUCUGGAACUGCUGAGUUCUUAUGAACACCAACACUGAGUCACGGGAGAGCCCAGGACUUCUGCCCACCUGGGGAGUGCAGGGCCUCUGACACAAACCAGAUAAGGGGUCUGUCAGACCAGAGACCUGCCCCAGAGCCAAGAUGCUGCUUCUUUGCUCUGGAUUCAGCCUCACAAAUGAGCAGAGGCAGCAGGUACUCAGCCCAGAGAAACAGUGCCCAAAGAAAAGAAACAGAAAACCCAACUGAGGACAGCAACUUGUGCCAGCAAAGGCAUGGCCCAUGCAACACUGCCUUCUGUGCAGGAGGCCUGGAGCCUGGAGCCUUGGCAGCAUCUGUGUUGCUGUGUGUAUUGGGCAGGGGAGAGCGGGGUAUACGUCACAGUGGUCGUGGCUCUGUUUUCACUCCUCUCCUCGCCCCAACUCUCCUCGCACUGACCGCAAGAAGAGGCGGCGUUAGGUUACCAGGGGCUGCUGGCCCCAUUGAAUUCUCCUGUCCACCCUUAGGAGCCAGUCAUUCCUCCAGGCAUUGUUAUGGCUCCCAGGAGCUCAGGAGGAGCCUGGUGCCACUCAGACCCUGCCUCAGAUCCUGACGCAGGGCCUCCUUGCAUCUUCUUAAGUCAUUUCAAAGAAACUCUAGGUCUCUCAAGAGUGGUCCUGGAAAAAAGACUAUGUCACUUAUUGUUUUUUGUGACUAAAAGUAAUAGAUAUUUACUGCAGAGAAAUUUGGAAAAUAUAGACA
rnacentral:lncRNA from 1 species